ACGAAGGGUGCAAGCGUUAUUCGGAAUUAUUGGGCGUAAAGGGCGCGUAGGCGGCUUUGUAAGUUUGCGGUGAAAGCCCGAGGCUCAACCUCGGGUCGGCCGUGCGAACUGGGUCACAUGAGCAGAAUAGAGGCAGGUGGAAUUCCGGGUGUAGCGGUGGAAUGCGUAGAGAUCCGGAAGAACACCGGUGGCGAAGGCGGCCUGCUGGGUUCUGGCUGACACUGAGGCGCGACAGCGUGGGGAGCAAACAGGA
rnacentral:rRNA from 1 species